CCCUAAAGGGCCAGACACUAUACGAGUCAUAUAAGGGAAGGCAUUAUAGGACUCAUAUAGUGCCAGGUGUUUUGUGGG
ensembl:miRNA MIR3117 microRNA 3117